UCGUAACAAGGUUUCCGUAGGUGAACCUGCGGAAGGAUCAU
rnacentral:rRNA from 10 species